AUGCUAGCUUCUACAGCACAUAAACUAAAAUUAGACUGAUACACAGAAGAUUAGUUUGGUCUCUGCACAGGAAGACAUGCAAAUUCAUGAAGCAUUCCGUACUUCU